AAAGGGUUAAAGCCGAUCAUGGCGCCUUGUUUUCCACGCUGACAUUUGUGGCACUUGGACUAUUUUGUUAACUAGGUUGGAUUUGGUUCAAGAAGAGAAAGAUGCCUGCCAGGACUGAAGACACUCUGGGGUAUCAUGAAGCCAAAGGUGGGAAUGAGUCUCCUAGAGUCGAGAUCUCUUCCUCCACAGGGCUGAGGCGCUGCCACUCCACAACAGGGCACGUGUCCUCCAGAUGGCAGAGGGUGCUGCUUCCUUGUUAACAUUAAAUAAGAAUGGAGACCAAUC
rnacentral:lncRNA from 1 species